AAAACACAGAAAUAUCAAAACUACCCGAACAGGAGUUGGAGUUUCCAACAGAACUCAUUUUGAUCCAAAUAUUGGGUCAGCCGCUACGAGGAUUGUCGCGCCUUGAAGUACCUCAAAUUAAGAGCUUAAACUCCUAAAUGGAGUCUAGUAUUCCUUAUCCUCAUUCGGUUUAUUAUACUUAUUAUGUUGUGUUUUCUUAGAAUGAUAAGUAAUUCUUGUUAUUGAACUUAUUUAAGAUAACUUUAUUUGAUUAUUGAUUUAUGUUGUUGUGACACCCCAAGUUUUUGAUCUUUAGACCCUUCAAGAGUUGAGUAAUUGAAUUAGCCAUAAAGUGAAGUUAAACUGCUAGUGACAACGGGCCCUGACUACGACUCAUUGUGAGACAUCACGAGUCAUUGGGAUGGACUCAUUGUCACAACAAAGAGUUACCACGGUGCUCAAUCCCUGACCAUGAAUCUUCGUUGUGACUCACGAUGUCGGAUAACGAGAUGUGACAAGUGACUCAUCAUCAUACAGUUAGGGACCAGAACUUUGGUCCUCGAGUAACGACUUCGGGCAACGACUUAUGGUCAGGCUUGAGGAGUCAUUACCUAAGUCGUGAUGAUUUUUCUAUAUUUUUCCUGCACAUAUAAUUAGGGUAGUUUUGGUCUUUCUCUCCAUUUACACUAUUCCCACGACUUAAAAACACUCUAAUUAACCCUCUAACAUCAGUUAUGAAAAAUUAAAUAUUAACGUUUCUUCUUUAACUCCCAAGGCAAGAGACACUAGGGUUUUACAAUAAAUUUAACAUUUAGGAUCCAAACCUUGAGUCCUCUUCAAUUUAUUGAGUAUUUCAGACAUGUCUCUCUUCCCACACUUGUAUUUUACUUUAUGGGAUAAAUUUAUUCAACAUUCAGGUGA